rnacentral:rRNA from 1 species
AAUGAACGCUGGCGGCGUGCCUAACACAUGCAAGUCGAGCGAGAAAGUCCCUUCGGGGAUUAGUAAAGCGGCGAACGGUUGAGUAACACGUGAGAAUCUUCCCUUCAAUGGAGAAUACCCUCGAGAAAUCGAGGUUAAUACUGCAUACGUCCCUAGCGGGAGAAAGGUGGCCUAAUUUGCUAUCGUUGAAGGAUGAGCUUGCGGGCUAUCAGUUAGUUGGUAGGGUAAUGGCCUACCAAGACGAUGACGGCUAGCCGGCUUGAGAGAGUGGUCGGCCAGACUGGAACUGAGACACGGUCCAGACUCCUACGGGAGGCAGCAGUGGGGAAUCUUGCGCAAUGGGCGAAAGCCUGACGCAGCGACGCCGCGUGGAGGAUGACGGCCUUCGGGUUGUAAACUCCUGUUAAGUGGGAAGAAAGGCCUAGUUAUAAUACAGCUAGGAGAUGACGGUACCACUAGAGAAAGCACUGGCUAAUCUCGUGCCAGCCGCCGCGGUAAAAC